rnacentral:rRNA from 1 species
AUUGGACGCUGGCGGCAUGCCUUACACAUGCAAGUCGAACGGCAGCGGGGACUUCGGUCCGCCGGCGAGUGGCGAACGGGUGAGUAAUAUAUCGGAACGUACCUUUCAGUGGGGGAUAACGUAGCGAAAGUUACGCUAAUACCGCAUAUUCUGUGAGCAGGAAAGCAGGGGAUCGCAAGACCUUGCGCUGAUUGAGCGGCCGAUAUCAGAUUAGCUAGUUGGUGAGGUAAAGGCUCACCAAGGCGACGAUCUGUAGCGGGUCUGAGAGGAUGAUCUGCCACACUGGAACUGAGACACGGUCCAGACUCCUACGGGAGGCAGCAGUGGGGAAUUUUGGACAAUGGGGGCAACCCUGAUCCAGCCAUGCCGCGUGAGUGAAGAAGGCCUCGGUUGUUAAGUACUCUU